UUUUCCGGAAGAUGUGAGGUUUUAUUUUGAUAGUCUCACUUUUUAUGGUUCCUGGGUCAAAUUUAUUUUAUUGGCGGGUCGUAUUUGUCGCUGGGUAGACCUGUUUGUUUUCGGUCGGGUGAGUUUAUAAAAAUCCAGAGGAAAAUUACAUUUUUUGGAGCACCUUGAGGAGAAAUGUGAAUACAUAUAUUUGUUUGUAUUUGUAGUAUUAUGUAAGCGUAUUAUAUCGCAAAUCCGGCGGAGAUGUUGGGGGAGAGUUUACUUUGCGAAGGGUUCUUUGAUAAGUGCUCAAAAACCCAUCCCCGGAAUCAGGCCUGAUACCGGGAGAAGACGUUUCGACUUACUGAACCUAUGCAGGGCUCAGGGGUACAGAUUGGCCAUGCGAUGGUGACGAAAUGGUGACUCUCUUCCGAACGCAGGUACGUAACCACCGUGAUGGGAGCCGGCCCAUUGGUCUAGAUAAGGGGGAUCUGGGUUGGGGGAAGGAUGGCCUACUACUGGUGAGCAGGAGUGGGAUCAUUGGUUUCACAG